GGCUCUGUACAGCAGGGGCACCCCAGCUAGGGCACCCCAGCCACUCCCAGAGAAUCUCAAGCUCCAAGAGACUGCGUGGGAAGCAGGUCUAACCUUUCUACAGAAAUUCUCAUGCCCCUGAGUGGCCUGUGACUUGCCUGGACCUGCAGAAUGCAGUGGAAAGAGUGGCAUUUGAGAUCCGGAGCUCCAGCCUCAAGGGGCUUGCAGCUUUCCCCUUUACCAUCUUGGGGACUCUUCUCAGGUAUUAUGCUAGGAAGCCAUUCUAGCUGCUGCAGGGUGAGAAGCUUCAAGGAGGAGAAUGGAGUCUCUCCAGCCAAGAGCCAGCACCGGGGUGCAGUCAGCUUUGACCUCCCAGCUCAGCAGACCCUCCAGAUGAGCAAAUCACAGAUUGAAGCUCAGAGAGGUUAAAGGACUCAUCAAGACUGCAUAUCUCUUAAGUCCCUGAGUUCAUCACAUAGUCACUCAGCAAACAUUUUGGGGCCAUCUAACUACAUACUGAGUACAUAUAGGCCCUGCCAGUCAACAUGUUUACUGUGCAUCUACAAGGUAAUGAUAUUGUGGAUAUAAGAUAAUAAGACAGACCCUCUCAUUGUGGAAGGAACAGAGAAUAAACAUGCAAACCAGGAUUUCUCAGCCUUGGCACUCCUGACAUUUUUGUGGAGAGGCUGCCCUCUGCAUUUUAGGAUGAUCAUCAAGGAAAAGGGAGCGUUUCCUCCUUCAUCAUCACAUCGUCACAGUCGCCGUCAUUGCUUCUGAUUGCAUCGCUCCUCCACAUGCUGGGCACUGCUCGUUACACAUACCGACUCAUUCAAUCCUCUCAACCACCCAGUGAGGAAGGGGCAAUGAUUGCCUCCAUUUUACAGAUGGGGAAACAGAGACACCGAAGCAGCAGCAAGAGCAAAGUUCUUCCGCUUGGCAAGUUUUAGGGGCCGAAUGAUGGUGGGUAAACCUGGGAGGGUGGCAGGAGAUGCGAUGGGGGUGAGGAGUCAGAUCAGGCGGGUCUUGUGGGCCACGUGGAGUGGAGGCUGUGGUGGGCUGCACUCCUCCAGGGGCCGGAACUCUUGGCUGAGGGCCUCUCUGGGAGCGCAGUCAGCCUGCUCUGUUUAGGGAAAGGCCUGGGGGGAGACAGCCCACAACCGACCAAGAUCAGUCAGGCAGGGUAUGAGGCUUGACCUCCUUGCCUGGGGCAGCUCUAAAGGGCCAGCCCUGCUCCAGAGCUCCUGUGGGAUUUGACUGAAGCCUCUGUUACAACUCUGUCGCAGUUCAGUGUUGCCCUCCCUUCCUCCCCUUGCUCCACAGGCGUGAUCAUGAGAGUUCCUCAGUAGACUUCCUGCAUGCUGCGUCCCAUCACAGAGUCUUUCCAGGUGAGCCUGUUGUAGGACACCAUGAUUGGGUAUUGGGGUUUUAUGCUGCUUGCAACAGGAAGCCACUGGAGAGUUUAAGCAGGGGCACAGUGGGACCCGAUUUACACUCUGGGAAGUUUAUGAAGCAGCAGGAAAGCCAGGGGGAGACAGAUGUAACAGUGCAGGUGAGAGGUUAGCACUGGGCUAUAGCAGUGGAGGUGGUGAUGAAACGUCAGUUUGGGGAUGUGUUGAGGAGGUGGAGCUGACGGGACUCACUGUCUGGUGUGGCAGAAAGAAGAAUCAAGGGCAACUCUUCGUGCAUCUGAGCCCCUGGUGGGGAGUGGUGCUACUUCCUGAGUCACAGAGGCUUAUUGGGAGAAGAAGGAAUGGGUUUGUAGGGGAAAUCAAAGGUUCCUUUUUGGGCCAGUUGAGUCUGAGAUGCCUCAGAUGUUUAAGGGAAGAUGUUGAACAGGCAGGUGGGUAAACAAGCCUGUGGGAGGGUCAGAGCUGCAGAUACACAUGUGAAGGCAGUGAGCUUCUGGAUGACACAGAAGGCAGUGUGAGUUGCUGAGACUGCCCGAGGAGAGAGGGUUCGUGCAAAGCUUACAGGGACUGGGGCACCCCAAGAUUUAGGCCCCAGGAGAGGGGAAGCCUGACAAGGAGAAAGAGAAAGAAUGGCCCUGAAGGGAGAAGAAAACUAGGUGAGUGUGUUGCAGAACGUAAGAGAAGCGAUAGCUUUCAAAAGGGGGGAGGUGGUCAACCAUGAGGAGUCCUCCCAAGAGAUCAAGCCAGGUGCGGACACACAAGUGGACUUCCAUUAAGUGCAGGUUAUUGGUGACCUCGGUAACAGCUGUGUCAGUAGGUAGGUGACGACAAACCCUGAUUGGAGAUAAUGAAAGAAUGGGGGGAAAGGAGUCUGGAUAGUGAAUAUGUGCAACUCUUUGGAGGAGUUUUGCUGUGAAGGCAAGUGGGAAAAAUGGGGCGACUACAGGUGGGGAUGUGGGGGCUGGAGAGGCAUUUUUAAGAUGCGCUCUACCAAGGCUUGUUUGUGUGGUGAUGGAAUGUUCCAGCAGAGCGAGGAAGGAUGGACAAUGAUAGGUGCAAAGUCCUUGGGCUGGCAGGAGGUGACACAGAGGGCUCAGUGGGGAAGCUGGUGGUAGAUGGGGGUGGGGGCUACUUGCAUUUCUGUGGGAGGCAGGAUGGGGCAUGUGGGUUGAGAUGCAGGUGAGGAAGAGAGA